rnacentral:lncRNA from 1 species
UCAUUUAUUAUUAUCCUUAACGAUGAAGAUAUCAUCUAAAGGGACAAAGUGAAUACUAGAAUCUGAGCACAGUCCACUCGUGAGAAAUUCUUUGUUUCUUCAUGUAUGUCAACCAAAGCUUGUACUCCAUUGAAUGCCCCAUUGUGCUUUUCGAUCUGCCUCCUACUUCCACAAUCCUGCUCCCCUCCUAUCUUCCUCCAAAUCAAAGUCCAUAGAGUGCUUUAACAUGGAGAAGCCUAUUUCAAGCUACAUUUCACUUCCUUCACUUGAAACACGAUCUUUGUCAGAUCUAUAACUACCCCUGUUACAACCACAAUGGUUUACCACUAGAAUGGUAUCCUCCACAAUUCUUACUAAAUGAAUCUUGUCAUUGAUCAUUACCCUUAACGAUGAAGAUAUCAUCUGAAGGGACGAAGUGAACACCAUAAUUCAAGCAUAGUCUGCUCUCAAGAAAUUCUUUGUUUCUUCAUCUAUGUCAACCAAAGCUCAUAUUCCAUUGACAAUCCUUGAUAAGUAUUCUUCCCCCAACUAACAAGGGAAUGCCAUAGCACUUUACCCAAACCAACCUAUUUGCUAACCCCAAAUCUUCAUCCCAUUUUUGGAUUGUCUUGAAAAUUGACAAAGUUUUCAUCUUCC